ensembl:lncRNA
UGGGAACCCAGAGAGAGGAAUGAGGGUGGGAAAGCCUGAGACAAAUGUGGGACAAAUGGCCAGAAUGGUGGGAAGAAAACCAGGAGCUCGGGACAGAGGAGGAGAAUGUUCCAGCAGGAGAGUGCCAAGGGUCUAGGAGCGAGACUGAGGAGGCCAGAGGUGGCAGGGCACAGGAGAUGGGGCCACUGAGGGACAAGUAGAGGACUCCCCCUCUCCCAAGCUUGGAUGCCAGAGCCUGGGUAGGCCGGCCACGGCAGCCGAUGGGGCCGUCACCGGGAGCAGAGCCCAGGAAGUUCGCGCUGACGAUUGGGAAGUCGUCCUAGGUGACAAAUUGGGCUCUGUGUUACCCUCAUGGUCCCAGUCCCUGAUAGCACCAACCGCUGUCCCCAGAGUGGGGGUACCGUGAAGAGAGGCUUUCACUGCUAGAAGACCAGUCUCAGGCCACUGCUCCAGGUUGGUGACAGCAGAGUCAAAUGGGACCCCAGAGUGGCCCGGGCUGCACCCCGAUGCUCAGGGCCCCCACAGGCCCUGUCCUUUGUCUCUGUGUCGAGGGCAUGAUGCUGGCAAUGGGAGAGGCAGGGGUGGGGCGGGGAGGGCCCAGCUGGCAGGUACUGAGCUCUCCGCACCUGCUGGUGUGGUGGCUCAGGUCCUUCUGUGCAUCCCUGCAGGAGGCGACAAGCCCUGAGAGCGCACUCACCAUGCCACUGAGGCACACGGUGACACAAGGAGAUGGCUCUGAGGACUGGUACCCGAUCGCCCGCAGGCAGAAGGAGUUGCCCCGGGGAGGGACUCAGGGACUCAUCACAGUCCCCCGCUGGAGGGACCUAUAUGGGGUCCGGGCUGCGUGCCUGACCCUGAGUGAGGGGCCGCGGCUGAGCCCUUGUCGCCCGAAGCCCGUCCUGCGCAGGCCUCGGGGCGCCCACCUGCUUCCGCACGGGCCUCCCCUCCCUGUCCCUCCCGACUCUGCCCAGGGCUGGCCCCGGAGGGCCGUGCUCACGCGCGCCGCACCUGCGCCCUCUCCUCUGGCGCUGGGUGCUCUGGGUGCACAUCAGUCACCGACGUGGGAAGCAGGUACUGCGGGCUGCCAGCCUAUGGUGAUUUCGCGGCCAAGACGCCUGACUUCGGAGCACCAGCAGGGCGGCCUGGCAGAGAAACGCGGGGUUCGCGCAGCAGGAGGGCCCACACACAGCCCGCUGGAUGCACCUGCGCAGCCUGUUUGGGCCGUUUGGCUCCACGCUGGACCCGGAGCCCCUAAGGCUGAAGGGCGGCUGACAGCACCAGCCUGGCUCUGCGGCUCCCGGGGCCUGCCUGGCAGAUGCACCUGCCAGCAGCUACCACCUGCAAGGCCCCGGGGCCAGAGCAGAGGGGGUCUUGGGGUGAGCAUCUGCGGACGCUGGAAGGGGCAAAGGACAAGGCAGGUAUGCCCGGCGGCUGGCAGCAGGCCCCCCGGGGGCUCACACAUCGUGCCUCGAAAGUGCAGCCAAGCUCAGGGGGCCCUGGGAGGUCACGAGGUCCUCCCCUCUCCCCAGCUCUACAGGUGAGGAAACUGAGGCACCAGAGACCAAGCUGCCCCUCUCCUGUGGUUUCCAGGAGAACUCAGGGGAAUUCGGCCCAGCUGCAGGCAGGAGCCGGGCCUCCCUUGGCUGCCCCCUCAUCCAUGGCGCUGCUGGCAUCCCGGCUCCGCGCCUCCCUCCGGAUGCCGUCUGGGCCUGGCGUCGCCUCGCUCUGGGCUCCCUGAGCAGAGACGCCGGAGGCCUGCCAGCAGCUGGCCCACAGCAGCCCGCAGCCUCAUGCUGCUUCUCUAUCCCGCGCCCCACGUGGGGGGCCAAGUCAGCUACCACUGACCUGGGAGCCCCCUGCGCCCCCUCCCUGCCUCCUCC